AGGGGCAUCAACCCGGAAAUGAAGUCGCUGCCCCGGCCGUUGCCCCGCAGGUUGCCAGGUCGAGCAGCGGGGCGGCCUCAGCCCGGAAAUGACGUCACGGCCAAGAUGGAGCCGACCCGCACUGGACGAGUUUAGGAGCCGUUGCUGUGGACCGAGAGACGGGGAUGUGAGGGCAGCCAUUGAGGGCGGCCAGAGUGCCGGUGAGCCCCCAUCUGCUCAGUGUGUGGGCUGAGCUUCGAGGGGCUGAACUUCCGUGGAGGCCC